rnacentral:rRNA from 1 species
GACGAACGCUGGCGGCGUGCUUAACACAUGCAAGUCGAACGAAGUGGCGAACGGGUGAGUAACGCGUAAUCAACCUGCCCUUCAGAGGGGGACAACAGUUGGAAACGACUGCUAAUACCGCAUACUGAAGGAGGGGAUUGCGUCUGAUUAGCUAGUUGGAGGGGUCACGGCCCACCAAGGCGAGGAACAGUAGCCGGUCUGAGAGGAUGAACCGCCAAAUUGGGAAUGAGAAACUGCCCAGACCUCUACGGGGGGCAACAGUGGGGAAUCUUCCGCAAUGGAGGAAAGUCUGACUGAGCAACGCCGCGGGAGUGAUGACGGCCUUCGGGUUGUAAAGCUCUGUUAAUCGGGACGCGUUACCGGAAUAGAAAGCCACGGCUAACUACGUGCCAGCAGCCGCGGUAAUAC